UCCGUGACGGGAGAUCCCGUCAUCGCGAGAGCAUCGCUCCGUUCCGCCGCACCUCCUCUCUCCUCGCAUCCUCGCGUUUCGUAGCAGAGUGCUCUCUGUGAAAAUGAGGCGGCCCAGGGAGGUGCUGGAGGCUCCGUCUAUGGAGGUGUUGCAGAAAAGGGGGAUGGUGGCACUGAGGGACAUGGAUGAUUGAACACUGGAACAGAUUGCCCAGAGAGAUUGUGGAGUUUCCAUCCUUGCAGAUAUCCAAAAUCUGAUCAGACAUGGUCCUGGACAACCUGCUCUAGAGAGACCUUGCUUAGAGCAGGAGAAGGCAGAUGAUCUCCAGAGGUUUCUUCCACCUUCAGCUGUUCUGUGAUACAUUCUAGACCUCUGCUUAUGCAAAAGUGCAGUCUGAAGCCUCUACAACACUACUGCUCUCCACUAUUAAGUCUACUAACAGUAAUGCAAAGAGUUAAUUCCUCUAGGCUAGAUAACAUUAUUCUACUUCUUUCAGUACACAUCUUCCAAAAUGUGUUAAAAGAGAAAACAUUAUUUAUAAAACUAUAAAUUUAUAACAAUAUUAUAAAAGAGUAAUUAUUAAGUCUCAAUGUAAGUACAACUAAAUCUACUGUUACUGAUGCUUCCAGUUUGCUAAAAUAAGGUGCUAAGAUCAGAAUUGUAUGGUUGUCCCCUAAAAAUAAACACUAGCAACCUGAAUAAACAUCUAUAUGCAAUUUAAAA